AGAAAACAUAAGCAGAUACAGAGAUGUAGGGACUCAGACAUGUCAGGAAAAAGACCAUGCAAAAACAAUAGAGUGGAGUGAUCCAUGCCUAAACCAAGGAAGGCCAAGGAUUGCCGGGAAUCAGCAAAGCCAUGUGCCUGAGAAUUCAAAUUCCUCUGUAUCAGAACAAUGAAUGCAUACUGACUUCUGCUCCUCAAGACUGCAAACUGUACCUGACUGGCUCCCAAAUUUGCUACUGAGAAGAAAGUGCCGAACAGAUGUGACUUGUGCAGAUUAACAGACAAUGAGGAACCCUCCAGAUGGCAAUAUCUGGGAUCACAGAGAACAAAGGACAAAAAGAUUCUUCCAGAGAGCAAACCAGGAGAUGGCCUAAACAAGGAAUUUACUCAUCUACCAGUCUAGAACGCUUCUCUUCCUGUCCGGCAGAUGUGCUGGUAGGGACUGUCUUGGAUACACAGAGGAAGACAACUCACGAGGUGGAGAGAGACAGACGCUUUAUGUCUGAUACUGCAGCAUUAACUAAGCAACCCUGGACAGCAUUGUCCCAGUCAGUCAGGUGGAAGGUAAUUAAAAUUCAAUUUAAUUUAAACCUUUGUUAUUUAGGGUCUCGGCUACAGCAGCCAAAUCUUUAUUGUAAGUCAAGAAUUAAAAAGAAAAUUACAUAACUCAGAAUUGCUGGUAAAUUAUUGUUAUUACCUUUUAACUUCUGUCCUGUCAUCCACUUAGAGACUGAGAUUCUAAGCAGAAAGCAUGUUGAGAGAUACAGGGUGGUGUGUCUGGGUGCAUAAAUGUUGUCCCUAAACAAUUCUAAAAUUAAUUCUUCCUCUGAUACAUGCUCCCCUUUUGCCUACUUAAUCCCCUCAACCAAAUGUUCACAGGUAAACAGAAAAUAAUAAAAUCAUCUUUAUGCCUAACAUAUCACAAGGGCUCAAUAAACUGUAGAUUUUUAGACACAACACUCACAGUUGAGGUAUUGUUGGAGAUUUUGAUUUUUUUUUUCUUUUUAUAUGCAAGUUUUUCUCCAGGAAAACCAUCACUUUUGUCUUCUGCUUUUUAAAAUGCACUCUAGGUAUGAAAUUGAUUGCU